GCAUUGCCUGUAUUGUCUAUCUGCCGAAAGCAGAUAGCUGUAUUUCAAUUCGUUUCACGAACAGCGCCUUUGUGGAUAAACUAUCCUGCAAUAGCCCACACACUAAGAGACGUGUGGCGCUUGUUAACCGAUUGCAACAAUUUUGCGAUCGGUAAUUAGAGGCUCUCCUAGGUUCGACUACCGAACACGCGGCGGUCGGCCAUCUUGGAUCCUUUGUUCCUCCAGCGGUGUUCGGUC